rnacentral:rRNA from 1 species
UACGGAGGGUGCAAGCAUUAAUCGGAUUUACUGGGCGUAAAGGGCGCGUAGGCGGGUUUAUAAGUCAACUGUGAAAUUCCGGAGCUCAACUUCGGAGCGGCAGUUGAAACUAUAAGUCAAUAGAGGGAUGGCGGAGAAAAUGGAAUUCCACAUGUAGCGGUGAAAUGCGUAGAUAUGUGGAAGAACACCAGUGGCGAAAGCGGCGCACUGGACCACUACUGACGCUGAGGCGCGAAAGCUAGGGGAGCAAACAGG